UGGGGAAUAUUGGACAAUGGGCGCAAGCCUGAUCCAGCAAUACCGCGUGUGUGAAGAAGGCCUUAGGGUUGUAAAGCACUUUCAAUUGGGAGGAAUACCUAUCGGUUAAUACCCGGUAGAUUGACAUUACCUUUAGAAGAAGCACCGGCUAACUCCGUGCCAGCAGCCGCGGUAAUACGGAGGGUGCGAGCGUUAAUCGGAAUUACUGGGCGUAAAGCGUGCGUAGGUGGUUAUUUAAGUCAGAUGUGAAAGCUCCGGGCUUAACCUGGGAACGGCAUUUGAUACUGGAUAGCUGGAGUUUGGAAGAGGAGAGUGGAAUUUCAGGUGUAGCGGUGAAAUGCGUAGAUAUCUGAAGGAACACCAGUGGCGAAGGCGACUCUCUGGUCUAAAACUGACGCUG
rnacentral:rRNA from 1 species